UGGAUUUGAACCAACGACCUUCGGGUUAUGAGCCCGACGAGCUACCAGACUGCUCCAUCCCGCGUCUGUGUGGGCGC
rnacentral:tRNA from 1 species